UCAUUGCACCGCGUCCUCUUUCUUCCCUGCGGUUUCCGGCGCUCGCCCGCGCCGUGAGUGCGGUGGAAAGUUUUCAUUUGUGUGGUUCACAGCGUCGAUUCUCCCCCCUUUCCCCCAGGCGCGGGCGGGCGGGGGCUGCCUGAGCCCCCUCCGCUGGGCGCGGACCCUCCUCUCCCCUCGCCGUCUCCGCGGGAGCAGCGGCGAGAGGCUUUCGGCGAUGGCUUCGGGGGGUCUCGGAGGCGGCGAAGCAGCGGGUGGCACAGCUGGAGGAAGAGCUGCGGGGUCUGGCGGAGCAGCUGAGCCGCUGCCAGAUUCAACAUGGAGGAGAAUGACUGGGUGUAGCUGGUCUAGCUUUCCCAUCUAACUGUUUUGGUUUGGGAAGAAGGUACGCUGUUCUCGAAGAAUGACUUCAGAUAGUGCUCUUAUCCUUUGCUGUUAUUGAGAGUGCACUGUUUCAACUAUUUGAAGUUCAGCUCACAGCUUAAAAGAUUUCCUACAUUUAUCAAGUGCCGCAUCUCCAAUACUGACUACUCCGAAAAAAGCAAGUGCUGGUAGAAGGCUGUUCUAGUGAACGAAGGGAAACAGAGCAUCCUGUGUGGUCACUGAAGAAGAAAGUAAUUUACUUUUUGCUGUUCUAUGAGGGUGGCAUUGUGUGUGAUAGGUCCUUGUCUAUCUGGUAAGUUCUGUCUACAAGUGAAUUGAUGUUUGUUUUUGUUCUGUGUUGGUACUGUUUAGCCUUCAGUUCAUUUUUUUACUAUGCCAUGACCAUUUUUUUGCUAUGCCAUGACCUUGUAUAUCUUGCCACAAUAAGUCAGUUUUUUUAUGCCAAUUAAGAAUAUAUAAUGAAAUUAUUCAGUUAAGUUCAUUGCUGUCUUUUUGUUGUGCUAAUGAAGUAAUCUGAGAGUAAAUCAUCUGUAAGCACAGUAUCUUUAGUAUAAGUCGGGUGGUAUUUUUGCCUAGAGCAGCACUAUUAGGGCAUCAACAUUGUAACAAUGACACUAUAUUAUUUUUAUUGUGCUUGUUUGCGUUCAGCAGAGUAAUGAGUAAGGAUUCAGUUUCUAAGGGAGUGUGUGUUUGAGGGUGCGUGUAGGUGUGUAUUUACCCAGAAGUGUUGCGUAAAGCAGUAUACUACAUUCUCCCUUUUUGAAUCAAAUACAUGUUUGUUGUGAGAACUACCAACAGAGACAAUAUAACAGUAAUUUCUUUGAAUAUAAAAGUAUGUGUGAAAUAUACAUGAAACUGUUUUUUAAUAUAAUGCAUUUACAUGUUGAUUGUGUCUCACUUAUAUUGUAACAUUAAGGAAUGGAGGGGAUGGGGGAAAAUACUGUCGUUGGCUGAUGAUGUCUGUUAAAAAAAAAAGCAGUCAGUCUGGUCAAGUCAUGGCCCUCUUACAAAUUUCUGCCUGAUAAUUAGAUGUUAACAGUGCAUACUGUCUCUAUGCACUGUUCCGUACAUGUCUGUGAGUGACUUCUGUGAACUUGAGAAUAGCACAGUAUUCUUUUAAGAGCCUGGUGUGUCUAAAGUUCUGAGUUUUCUUGUAAGUUGCUGAUCAGUCUUCUGGUGACUACUUAGGUUGUUGAAAAGCACAGCACCUCACAGAUAGAUUUUUCUAAAGACUAAGAGUAUUUUUGUUGAGACUAUUCAGCAGGACAUGGUUGUAAAGAGAAUACCUCUUAUUUAGGAAUGUAAUAUGGAAAACUGGAAAGCACAAAGAAACUGACACUGUAGGUCAAGAGAGUCCGAACUGACAGUAUGCAACAGCAUAAGUUUAAAAAUCUUGCGAGACAUCAAGAAAGAAACAAGUCUUGUCACUUGCAUGUGAAGUAUAUAUAUCAGCUUGAUAAGACUUCAGUUGUUUAGUUGGAAAUGUACUAGUCUAUUGUAGAUGCUCAGGAAGCCCAGAACAAUCCAUAGACAAAAUUUUCUUGCAGGUUUUUCAGUACGUAUACCAGCCAGCCAGGUUAUUUCAUGCAUUCCCCACUCAUGCCCCAUACCGUGUAGUAUUUUGAUUUUCAUACAAAUUUUUCCAGCUUGACAAUCAUGUGUUUUGAAAUACUCAGUUCAUAACACAGAAAAUUAUUGGCAUGUAAUUGUUAUAGAGUUCUUAUUAAAAAGUAACAGUAAACCAGUAGCUCUCUCUGUCCUUCCAACGGCUUUAUUUUCCCACUUGGGGACAUGUACUGAUUAAAGAACUAAAAUGAGAGUUUGUGUGUUGUGUUUUUGUAGGGAUGAUUGCAGCGGCGGGGGUGCAGAAGAGGCUGUUUGGAUUGAGUGUGAAGAGGUUGGGGUUUAUCUUCUGUUUUUCUUCUCUGAGGGUAUUGUCUUUUUAGAUUUAGGAAGAUGAAUAAUAGUAAGUGAAUAAUAGUUUGUAAUGCUGUAAAGAUAUAAGGUAUGAUAGGAACACUUAACAGUAAUUAACAUGCUUAGAAAUAAAUAUAGUGAAACAUCAAAAGGAGUACUGAUUUUGAAUUGCAGGUAACUGAGAUGCUUGAUGUAUGAAUUAAUGUUAAAGGGGGGAAGUUUUUCAGUUUAUCCUUGUUCUCAACACAGUGCCUGAUGUACAUCUAAACAAAAAACUAAACUUUUAGAUGUAAAUUAAACAAAAAGAAAAAAGAUACUGCUUAUGCUUUUGAUACUUGUUUCACUGCUAAUUUAAAAGUUUUGCUUUAGUAAAUUCAGUAUAAUUACUUUAAAAAAAAGAUGCCAGCUAAUUCUCCUUGAUAAAGCUGUUUAAAAAUAUUCAAAAGAUUCUACAGUUCCAAGUUUUCAUUAGACAAAUAACUGCAGUAUUGAUACAGUUUUAGGUAUUUAUGAUAUCAAAUAGCCAGUUAAAUAGUUAUGCUUGGAAUUCCCUUCCAAAAGGAAGAUAAAAUGUUUUGAAUAAGGAUAUUUGGUCUUUCCCUGCUUGUAACCCAGAGGCAUUCUUAGUUUUUUGAUUUUUGAUGAUGUUUUAUAAGUUCACAGCUUCACUUGAAAGCAAAUACUCAUGCUGUAGCUAGUUACGCUUAAUAAUGUUUGUUAGCAGCUUAUCUUUUAUCAGUGUUUCUGAGCUUGCUCCUGUUAAAAGUCAGUAAGAAAAAAUCCAGUUUACUCUGCAAACAACACAUUUAAAGCCUAGGGUAGUCUGCAUUUCUUUUUGUCUUUUUGUAUGAUGAACUACAAUCACUUUAACUGUAGGCUGAGGGGAAAAAUGUCACUUUUCAGGGAAUACACAAUGUGCUCUUUUCUUUUUUCAGAGUAUUUUUGUUCUUGCAUGCAAACUUGAUUGCAGGGUGAGCAUCUUUAUCUGACAUUAGAUAUGUUCUAAGUAAUGAGUAAUUUUUGCUAGCUUUUUCUGCCUUUAUAUAAGAUCCCAGCUGUUCAAGGUACACUCUUGCUGACCUCUUGAGUUGUUAAUGUGCACUUGAGUAGGCUGAAUGUUCUUUGGGUAAGCUGAAGAUUGAUACAUCCCAGGCCUUGACAGCUGCAGUGUUUUUUUUGUGCCAGCUUCAGACAGUGUAAGUAAACAGUCUUUUUUCCAUAGAAAUUGUUUGGCUCCCAGGGCCAUGCAGGGAAAAGCUCUACCAAGUCCAUGAGUUCUGCCAAGAGCUUAAAAAGGCUGUUUAAACUUCUUUUCAUCUUAAACCUUAAUAAUUUCUAACUCAUAUUCAUUCCAUUAUACAAAAUGCUUAAUUAAUCAUAUUAUUGAGAUUUAAAUGAAGUAGCCAUUAAAAUGUUUGGCAUGUUAAAGAGAA